CGCGUCCCAAUUUUUGCAAGUCCCGCUCUCUAAAUUUCUUCUCAUAUCUCUGCGACCCUUUUCUCCCAAAACCAAAAACCCUUUUCUCCCAAAUCCAAAAACCCUUUUCUCUCAUAUUUGUUUCCUUCAAAUUUCCCAAAUCCCUCGAUCUCCCCAUCUAUGCGGAAGUUUGAUAUCUCCAUCUCUGGAAUUGAAGCAAUCUCUCUUCUCUGCGGAGGAGAACGGUCGCAUGUAGUGUUACCAAACGACGAGAUUCAAUCUCUGUAAUAUGUUGGAAAGCAUUGAUAGUAAAAAGUAUUGAAAUAAGAUGCCAAGACUCAAGAUUUUGAUUUGAAAUGACUGCAAUAGGAAAGGGCAAGAUUACAGUAAGGACGAGGAAGAUAUUCAGAAGGCGGGUGGAGAGUGAUACCAAUUCUGAUAGUGAAGAUGAUGACUUGGUGACAAACCUAAAUGAAGCAGACAAUUUAAAUGUUGAUUCUUUACAUUUGUCGGAGCAGGAUGAUGGACAUGAAAGUCAUGGAAUA